GUGGGAUUUGUUGAGGUGGAAGAGGACGAAGUGCCUGCUGUCGAUGAUGGACCGCCACCACUUGCAGGUAGACCGCAGCCGGAUCACCGACUUCACCGGUAGACGGGACAGGAUUUCGGUCACUACUUCCACCGGAAGGGUUUGCUUCCGGAGAAAUCCAGAUUGUGAGUAUUACCAACUGCAACUCGCCUUUCGACAAACUGAGACUCAUGUGGGCUCGAAGAGGUCAGUCUAAGGCUCAAUUCAGUUGAGCUGCUAAGCUUGAGCUCUUUAUCAACCUGGGCCUGCAAAAAAUGCUAAAGCUCUUUGGACCCCAGAUUCUCUCGCUCAAAAUAAAAUAAAGCACACCCUAGAAGUUCUGGACAAUGCUUAGGAAUGGCAAAAUGGUACAAAAAUCAAGCUAUUAAUUACCUACUGAGUCACAAAAAGUAAACAACAAAAACAACAGCUUAUCUCUUAUGUAUUUGUUGUAAUGAAAUCCCAUAUUCUUAUAAUUGAAUCGGAAAUCCAUUUGAUUACUUUUGAGAAGGCAUGCUAGUGGCAGUUGUAGUGAUGUUGUUUGCAUGGUUGCUACAAAAUAAUUAGUCAUUUUCUAUUCUUGUUUCCUGAUUUGAGGACCACCGCUGUCCACUGGGUAGUACUUUAAAACCAACAUGAAAUUAACCUAGAGGCCACCUCACCAUUUUUCAUUUUCUGUCUCCAAGUGGAUGAUUAUAUUUUGAACGAAUCAAAAGUGCAAUAAACGAUUGUCUCUUCACCGUAUCCAUUUGCACAUAACAAUAGUUACGCAAACAUGAGCAAGAGUAUUUUCAAUUUACUUCAUGGUCCCCAAUUCAUCAAAAUAAUUUAUAAGAAAACAUAUUUUUUGUCCACCGCAUAAACAAUUUAAUUUGUUCCUCUUAUUAUCAGCAUAACAAUAUUGCAAGUAGCAUUUGUGUUUUGGCAGACCUGCACUUUUUAUCAUUAUGACGCAGACCUGCACUUUUGUGGGUUAGACAAAGUUUAUUUGCUUACAAGAUCACUAGAUACGAACCAGUCACGGAUAAGAAAAUGCUGAGUAAUCAGGUAUGCAAACCUUAUCCAAGGUGACACCGACCCUGCAUGCCUCCAAAUUACAAACAGUUAGGUGGAAUAACCACAAUUAGUUUUUAAAAAGAACUUAGCAAAGCGAAUACGAUGCCAUUUCAUGGUAAUUUGCCAAAGACAAAAACAUCAUGAUUUUUCAGUUCAAUUUCUACAUUAUUGAUUUGCAUAAGGGAAUAUUUUCUUGUAACGAGGGAUGUUUCUUCAAAUAUGUAUAUUUGAAUUUUGAGUUCGUUAUGUUAAUGUUUUUUGUUGUGUUGUUAA